rnacentral:rRNA from 1 species
AUUGAACGCUGGCGGCAUGCCUAACACAUGCAAGUCGAACGGAAAAAGGCAGCUUGCUCCUGGAUCCAGCGGCGCAAGGGUGUGUAAUACCUGGGAGUCUCCUUGCUUGUGGGGUAUAACGUCCGGAGCAGAGCGCUGAUACCGCAUAAUUCCUGCGGGAGCAGGAGGGUGAUCUUUGGACCGCUCGCUCGCAUAGGGAUCUAGGUGGGAGUAGUUGGUUGGUGGGGUAAAGGCCUACUGACGCGGCGAUCCGCUACUGGUCUGAGAGGAUGAUCAGUCACACUGGAACUGGGACACGGACCAGGCUACUACGGGAGGCAGCAGUGGGGAAGAUUGGACAAUGGGCGAAAGCCUGAUCCAGCCAUGCCGCGUGUGUGAAGAAGGCCUUCGGAUUGUAAAGAACUUUUAGUUGGGAGGAAGGGCAUUAGGUUAAUACCUUGCGGUUUUGACGUUACCAACAGAAUAAGCACCGGCUAACUACGUG